rnacentral:lncRNA from 1 species
AAAGGACUUGUCAUUUUAGAAAUAUUUUAAUGUUGAUUUCAUAAAAAUUUUUUUACUGAUUUUGAUUAAAACAUAAAAAUUAUGAAAUUUUAAGUUCAUAUAAGAAAAUGAACCAAUUUUAUGUUUAUACAUAAAUAUGAAAAAUUAUUUUGUAUAUACCAGCGGUUCUCAACCUUUUUAUAUAUAUGUGCGUAUCAUCGAAACCAAAAUUCACAAGUGUCAGUACCAGCAAAAAUGUUUUUGUAUACAAAUAAGAAGUAGGAAACUCAAGACUAUACACGUACCACCAAUCAUCUCUCGCGUACCACUGGUUAAGAACCGCUGGUAUUAUACUUUUCGUAUGGGUUCGUACUGGUACUAUACUUUUCGUAUUUUAUGGAUCACUAAAUGAAAGUAUGUUAGACUUUCGUUUGAGGACUGAAUUUGAUUCUGGAUCUUAUACUUAAAAAAAGUAUAGGAAUUUUUUUGAAUCCAGAAUCAAAAAAAUUUCUUUCAGCCGCUUUCCACUUGAUGGCUUGGCUAUUAAAACUACCGAGUGAAAAGAUGAAGAGCACAGAAAGAAAGAAUAAUUGAUAUAAUCCAACCAGUCACUGUAUGCGUGGACUGUUGUGACUUCUAAAAUCGCUUUAUCACUUAAUGACCUCUUAUUUGAAAGCAAAGUAAAAAAGAAAUUGGGAGACUGAAUAAAAAUUUUUUUCUCUAAACAGGUACUCUAAAAAAUAAAGAAAAUAAACUUUUAUUAUACUAAAACGUGAGACUAAUGCUGCCAUCAACAACUUCUCUUGGUCUCAUUGGAAUCGCAGAAAAAUUUUUUCUUUAG